rnacentral:lncRNA from 1 species
GCCCGCUCACGGCUGUCUCCCGAGCCGAGGUGCCGCCCGUCGGAGGCCGGGGCCAUUGCUCAAGCCGCUGCACUGCCUCAAGGAGGAGAAGAGGAUGGAUCCUCGGAGGUGGCGCAACAUGCGUUUGGAUGGCCAUGUGCACCAUCCUCAAUGCCGAGCGGAAUCACACGCAGGGUGCUGGCCCCUGUGUGGCGCCACCACGGACAACAACCUAGGGUUUAGGUUCGAGCCGCCUGCUGCUUGGUCUUGGCGUGAUGCAUCGGCCGCCCGUGAUGGCCAUGGUGGAUGUGCGAUGCCAAAUCGAGCUUGUUUACCUUCCAUGCACAGCCCAGGUGGGUCCGGUGACCUCGACGGCAACAUGGGUAUGUCAAUCACAGGCUCGCAACAAUCACUUGAGUUUCCUACCUUGAUGACUGAUGUGUUUUCUUCUUGCUUGAUUGUUCCCAUCAGUAGAUGGCACGAACCACUGGCUAUGAAUAUGCACUUCUUGACUGGCAGUAGAGAUGCACUUCUUGACUGGCUAGCUAUCAACUGUCCGUGGCUCUCCCGUGAGCAGGUUAUAACAUCCUAAUCCUCCCAGUUUUCAGAUUUUAAUCUUGUAAGCUUCAAACAAAUGCAUGUUUUCAAGUUUAUUCACUCAGAUUCUAUUUGAAUUGAUGCAGAUAUUUAGCUUUCUUAAUCUCACUUAUUAUAAACUUAUAUUCAAGUUGUUACCUGUCUUUUAAGGACAACAACCAUUUGGAGAAAUCUUACAAUCUUAAAAUGUAUCAUCUGAGUUUAAUACAGAAUGCAUGAUUCACCAUGUAUACUUCAUAUCAAUUUUCAUGGCUGCAUGUUACUCUGAUUUAAGAGAUUAGUAGAUGUGUUAAGUAAUCUAGGACUUCUUUUUUCAGGCGACCAUUAUUAAUCUCACAUCCAUUGGGCCUAGCAAUACUCUUAGAUAUAAUGCUUGCAUCUUUGUCUAAAACUGGUAGCAUCAUGGAGAUUUCUUUAUAUCCAAAUUAAAUGAUGGUUGUGCGCAUGGGAACUUGACUAGAAGUUGUCGGACAACACUGAAAUAUUUAGAAAUCUAAAAGAGCUUUUACCAUUGCAAAAUCUAUAUCUGUUGGUUCAAACAAUAAGGAUCUCUUAGGGGGUGUUUGGAUACCAGGGCUAGCCCUGUCACAUCGGAUAUUCGGAUACUAAAUAGGAGGACUAAACAUAAGCUAAUUACAAAACUAAUUGCAGAACCCCUAGGCUAAAUUGCGAGACGAAUCUAUUGAGCCUAAUUAAUCCAUCAUUAGUGAAUGGUUACUGUAGCACCACAUUGUCAAAUCAUGAACUAAUUAGGCUUAAUAGGUUCGUCUCGCGAUUUAGCCUAGAGGUUGUGUAAUUAGUUUUGUAAUUAAUUUAGGUUUAAUACUCCUAAUUAGUGUCCAAACAUUCAAUGUGACGGGGGCUUAAAUUUAGCCCCCUCCUCCCAAACACCCCCUUAGUAUGAUGGUUGAUGUAAAGCUAUGGUUCUUGUGAAAAGUUUACUAUGCAGUGAGUGUCUGGGUUAGAAGUUGCAUUCGCAUUCAGAUGAGCACUGAUAUAUCUUUGCAUAGGUUCAUAAAUACCUUUUCUGAUGAGAUGAUUGGGGGAUUUUAUUCUUAUUUUUUUCCACUACUAGGGAUGGCAUGAAUGAUAGCAAAAGUUUUUAGCUGGAGUUGCAGUUUGCUCUCCUGCAGUGGUGGAUCCAGGUUUUUAUAGUUGGGUAUUCCCAAGUAAAAAAAUAUGGUUGGUACAUAUUAUGAGAAACCAUGUUCCAUCCAUUUAGUUGAUGAAAUACCUCAGAUGAAUACAGUUUAGGAUGCUGAGUUAGUAAAGUCUGGAAUAAGAUAUUUCAAUCUAUCCAACUAUUUCAAUCUCUGUCUCCUGCUAAUGUUUGACUUCUAGGAAUAAGAUAUUUCUUUCACCAUGUAAUUGUGCUUCUUAUUUCUCUUUUGCAGGCUGAACUGUUCUUCUAGAGAGAACCAGAGGAAGCAAACGAGCAGGAGGUAAAAGAGGCUCUGAUUGCUCCUGACUAUGGCGCAGUUGGUAAAAGCAUUAUAUGCAUACAUCUGGAAGCAAUUUCUCCCUUGUAAUCUUCAUUUAUUAUUUCUAUGUGUAUGGAUGUCUUGUUAUUGGUAUUGAUGCACGUCUGGACUAGAGUUGCCUUUUACUGUAAAGUGGACCAUGCUAUUUCUACAUUCUGUCCAAUUAUUCUUUCUUUAGAAUCGUUUUGUUCUCACAGAAAUGACUUCUGGGAUCAUGAUUUGUUUUACUGUGUAACGUAUAAAAAUAUUUUGGACUACAUGGUAUUCAUGAUUAUAGUCAUAAAAAG